rnacentral:rRNA from 1 species
GAACCUUUACUAUAGCUUGACACUGAACAUUGAGCCUUGAUGUGUAGGAUAGGUGGGAGGCUUUGAAGUGUGGACGCCAGUCUGCAUGGAGCCGACCUUGAAAUACCACCCUUUAAUGUUUGAUGUUCUAACGUGGGCCCCUUACCGGGGUUGCGGACAGUGUCUGGUGGGUAGUUUGACUGGGGCGGUCUCCUCCUAAAGAGUAACGGAGGAGCACGAAGGUUGGCUAAUCCUGGUCGGACAUCAGGAGGUUAGUGCAAUGGCAUAAGCCAGCUUGACUGCGAGCGUGACGGCGCGAGCAGGUGCGAAAGCAGGUCAUAGUGAUCCGGUGGUUCUGAAUGGAAGGGCCAUCGCUCAACGGAUAAAAGGUACUCCGGGGAUAACAGGCUGAUACCGCCCAAGAGUUCAUAUCGACGGCGGUGUUUGGCACCUCGAUGUCGGCUCAUCACAUCCUGGGGCUGAAGUAGGUCCCAAGGGUAUGGCUGUUCGCCAUUUAAAGUGGUACGCGAGCUGGGUUUAGAACGUCGUGAGACAGUUCGGUCCCUAUCUGCCGUGGGCGCUGGAGAACUGAGGGGGGCUGCUCCUAGUACGAGAGGACCGGAGUGGACGCAUCACUGGUGUUCGGGUUGUCAUGCCAAUGGCACUGCCCGGUAGCUAAAUGCGGAAGAGAUAAGUGCUGAAAGCAUCUAAGCACGAAACUUGCCCCGAGAUGAGUUCUCCCUGACUCCUUGAGAGUCCUGAAGGAACGUUGAAGACGACGACGUUGAUAGGCCGGGUGUGUAAGCGCAGCGAUGCGUUGAGCUAACCGGUACUAAUGAACCGUGAGGCUUAACCUUACAACGCCGAAG